rnacentral:rRNA from 1 species
AGAGUUUGAUCAUGGCUCAGAUUGAACGCUGGAGGCGUGCUUAACACAUGCAAGUCGUGCGAGAAAGGGACUUCGGUCCUGAGUAGAGCGGCGCACGGGUGGGUAACGCGUGGGUGAUCUCCCUUGGUGAUCGGGAUAACAGCGGGAAACUGCUGCUAAUACCGGAUAAUCUUCAUGUUUAACUUCAUGGGGUAAAGGUGGCCUCUGCUUGCAAGCUACCACACCAAGAUGAGCCCGCGUCUCAUUAGCUAGUUGGUAGGGUAAUGGCCUACCAAGGCUACGAUGAGUAGCUGGUCUGAGAGGAUGACCAGCCACACUGGGACUGGAACACGGCCCAGACUCCUACGGGAGGCAGCAGUGGGGAAUAUUGCGCAAUGGGCGAAAGCCUGACGCAGCGACGCCUCGUGAGGGAUGAAGGUCUUCGGAUCGUAAACCUCUGUCAAGAGGGAAGAAACCCUUGGGUUCAAAUAGGGCCCUUGGCUGACGGUACCUCAAAAGGAAGCA